ensembl:rRNA 5S_rRNA 5S ribosomal RNA
GUCUACAGUCAUACCAGCCUAAACAUGCCCAAUCUUCUCUGAUCUUGGAAGCUAAGUAGGGUUUGACCUGGUUAGUACUUGGAUGGGAUAAGGCUCUGACCAGAUGUGGCCCCUCAACCUUGGACU